AGUGAACGCUGGCGGUAGGCCUAACACAUGCAAGUCGAACGGCAGCACAGCAAGAGCUUGCUCUUACGGGUGGCGAGUGGCGGACGGGUGAGGAAUACAUCGGAAUCUACUUUUUCGUGGGGGAUAACGUAGGGAAACUUACGCUAAUACCGCAUACGACAUACGGGUGAAAGCAGGGGAUCUUCGGACCUUGCGCGAUUGAAUGAGCCGAUGUCGGAUUAGCUAGUUGGCGGGGUAAAGGCCCACCAAGGCGACGAUCCGUAGCUGGUCUGAGAGGAUGAUCAGCCACACUGGAACUGAGACACGGUCCAGACUCCUACGGGAGGCAGCAGUGGGGAAUAUUGGACAAUGGGCGCAAGCCUGAUCCAGCCAUACCGCGUGGGUGAAGAAGGCCUUCGGGUUGUAAAGCCCUUUUGUUGGGAAAGAAAAGCAGCAGGUUAAUACCCCGCUGUUCUGACGGUACCCAAAGAAUAAGCACCGGCUAACUUCGUG
rnacentral:rRNA from 1 species